rnacentral:rRNA from 1 species
UACGUAGGUGGCAAGCGUUAUCCGGAUUUAUUGGGCGUAAAGGGAACGCAGGCGGUCUUUUAAGUCUGAUGUGAAAGCCUUCGGCUUAACCGGAGUAGUGCAUUGGAAACUGGGAGACUUGAGUGCAGAAGAGGAGAGUGGAACUCCAUGUGUAGCGGUGAAAUGCGUAAAUAUAUGGAAGGACACCAGUGGCGAAAGCGGCUCUCUGGUCUGUAACUGACGCUGAGGUUCGAAAGCGUGGGUAGCAAACAGG